rnacentral:rRNA from 1 species
AUACGGAGGGUGCAAGCGUUAAUCGGAAUUACUGGGCGUAAAGCGUACGUAGGCGGUCCGUUAAGUUAGAUGUGAAAGCCCCGGGCUUAACCUGGGAACUGCAUUUAAAACUGGCGGACUAGAGUUGAGUAGAGGGGAGUGGAAUUUCAGGUGUAGCGGUGAAAUGCGUAGAGAUCGGAAGGAACACCAGUGGUGAAGGCGACUCCCUGGACUCGAACUGACGCUGAGGUACGAAAGCGUGGGUAGCAAACGGGAUUAGAAACCCGGGUAGUCC